GACAGAGGGUGCAAACGUUGUUCGGAAUUACUGGGCGUAAAGCGCGUGUAGGCGGCCAUCUAAGUCGGGCGUGAAAUCCCACGGCUCAACCGUGGAAGUGCACUCGAAACUGGAUGGCUAGAGUCCUGGAGAGGAAGGUGGAAUGCUUGGUGUAGAGGUGAAAUUCGUAGAUAUCAAGCGGAACACCGGUGGCGAAGGCGGCCUCUGGACAGUGACUGACGCUGAGGAGCGAAAGCCAGGGGAGCAAAGCGGGAUUAAGCAUGACCCUUGUAGUCCCUAG
rnacentral:rRNA from 1 species